rnacentral:rRNA from 1 species
UGAUGGGGGGGGAAAGAUUUAUCGGCAAGGGAUCGGCCCGCGUUGGAUUAGGUAGUUGGUGGGGUAAUGGCCUACCAAGCCGACGAUCCAUAGCUGGUUUGAGAGGAUGAUCAGCCACACUGGGACUGAGACACGGCCCAGACUCCUACGGGAGGCAGCAGUGGGGAAUCUUAGACAAUGGGGGAAACCCUGAUCUAGCCGUGCCGCGUGAGCGAUGAAGGCCUUAGGGUUGUAAAGCUCUUUCAGUGGGGAAGAUAAUGACGGUACCCACAGAAGAAGCCCCGGCUAACUCCGUGCCAGCAGCCGCGGUAAUACGGAGGGGGCUAGCGUUGUUCGGAAUUACUGGGCGUAAAGCGCACGUAGGCGGACGGACAAGUCAGAGGUGAAAUCCCGGGGCUCAACCCUGGAACUGCCUUUGAAACUGUCUGUCUUGAGGUCGGGAGAGGUGAGUGGAAUUCCGAGUGUAGAGGUGAAAUUCGUAGAUAUUCGGAGGAACACCGGUGGCGAANNCGGCUCACUGGCCCGAUACUGACGCUGANGUGCGAAAGCGUGGGGAGCAAACAGGAUUAGAUACCCUNNAGUCCACGCCCUAAACGAUGAAUGCCAGACGUCGGGCAGCAUGCUGUUCGGUGUCACACCUAACGGAUUAAGCAUUNCGCCUGGGGAGUACGG